AUGAACGCUGGCGGCGAUGCCUAGACAUGCAAGUCGAACGAGGUGGCCAUUGAAGUUGGAGUGCUUGACACAAAAUAGGAUUUGGAUUUUCCACCUAGUGGCAAACGGGUGAGUAACACGUGGGUUACCUGCCCUUAAGUUGGGGAUAACAGUUGGAAACGAUUGCUAAUACCGAAUGUGCUCUUCGGAGUAAAGAAGCCCUUAAAGCUUCGCUUAAGGAUGGGCCUGCGGUGCAUUAGCUUGUUGGUGGGGGUAAUGGCCUACCAAGGCAACGAUGCAUAGCCGAACUGAGAGGUUGAUCGGCCACACUGGGACUGAGACACGGCCCAGACUCCUACGGGAGACAGCAGUUAGGAAUAUUCGUCAAUGGGGGAAACCCUGAACGAGCAAUGCCGCGUGAGUGAUGAAGGCCCUCUGGGUUGUAAAACUCUGUUGUUUGGAAAGAAUUGUGAGAUUAGGAAAUGAGUCUUACUUGACGGUACCAUUCAAGAAAGCCACGGCUAACUACGUG
rnacentral:rRNA from 1 species